rnacentral:rRNA from 1 species
CUUCCGUAGGUGAACCUGCGGAAGGAUCAUUACAUU